GAUGAACGCUGGCGGCGUGCCUAAUGCAUGCAAGUCGAGCGAACGGACGAGAAGCUUGCUUCUCUGAUGUUAGCGGCGGACGGGUGAGUAACACGUGGAUAACCUACCUAUAAGACUGGGAUAACUUCGGGAAACCGUAGCUAAUACCGGAUAAUAUUUUGAACCGCAUGGUUCAAAAGUGAAAGACGGUCUUGCUGUCACUUAUAGAUGGAUCCGCGCUGCAUUAGCUAGUUGGUAAGGUAACGGCUUACCAAGGCAACGAUGCAUAGCCGACCUGAGAGGGUGAUCGGCCACACUGGAACUGAGACACGGUCCAGACUCCUACGGGAGGCAGCAGUAGGGAAUCUUCCGCAAAGGGCGAAAGCCUGACGGAGCAACGCCGCGUGAGUGAUGAAGGUCUUCGGAUCGUAAAACUCUGUUAUUAGGGAAGAACAUAUGUGUAAGUAACUGUGCACAUCUUGACGGUACCUAAUCAGAAAGCCACGGCUAACUACGUG
rnacentral:rRNA from 1 species